CAUUAAGAAGCUAUGUAACAGCACUAGCCUUUUAAGCUAGAGAAAGAGGACACACCUUACUCCUCCUUAAUGA
rnacentral:tRNA from 1 species